rnacentral:tRNA from 1 species
GCCCAGGUGGUGGAAUUGGUAGACACGCUAGCUUGAGGGGCUAGUGGCCGUAUUUAUGGCCGUGGAGGUUCAAGUCCUCUCCUGGGCACCA